CCCAGUGUGGUAUAGUGGUUGGGAUGUUAGACUAGGAGUCUGGGAGAUCAAGGUUCGAAUCCUGACUCUGAAA